UCUGACCUCUUCACAUGCCCUUUUCUUUUUUUCCAGAGCCUUCUCAAAUCUACUAUCUCUAUCAACAAAAUAUCUACCACCAUAUCUUUAUCACCAAAUCUCUAUCAGCACAAGCUAUAAUCUCUAUUAGCAAAUCAACAAGCUAUAUAUCAAAAAUAAAAAUAAAUCUAUCUGUAUCUCAGACCGUUGCUGCAAUUUUCAGGUCACCUUAGCUUGAAAACUGGGAUGACAAGAAAGAACCGAUUUUACAGGAAACGAAGAAUCUUGGAUAGACAAAGAGGAUUCAUGCCAAGUUGUUGUGGCCUGCCCUCACAUAUGAGGUCUUACAAAGACUAAUGAUCCAAGAAGAUUGGAACUUUUCUUCUCUGCCUUUUGGAGACAGAUUCCAUGCAACAUUUUAGAAGUUCUACAAAUUUUUAGCUCCAUGUAUUUGCAGCUAAAUUGAGUAUUUGAUAGCGUACAUGGUUUAUAACCUUUUCCCUGUUGUUGGCUUUAUAUACCACAUGACUUUCGUUGACUUAAAUUUUCUAUUUACUAUGUACGCUGUGAAAAUAUCUCUUAGCCUGGCAAGAGAGAAAACUGCUAAUUGCUAAAAAGUAACUUCUGAGUUUCUAAUUUUGUAACCUAGAAACUCAGAAGUACAAAGCUUAUGAAUAAUUAUAAUUAUCCUUUUAAUAUAAGAAUAAAUAAGGAAGUCGGAUAGAUUCUAGGCUAAAGUCUAGGCUAAAUAGGGUAAGUUAUGACCUUGGAAGUUAACGUCUCCUUAGAAAACCCUUUGUUAUUAUGUAGAUUGGACAAAAUAAGAUUAUCUUUCUAUAAUGUUGUUAUUCUGAGGUAAUAAUGAAUUGGAUUAUUAUACUCUUUGUAAUUUUUCAUAUAUUAGGCUAAAAGGAUUUGCUUUUGUAUCAGGGUAUCUCAGCCACUGUCAAGCAAGAUGCGUUCACAUCAUUUCAUGUCUUUGAGCUCUGCUCACGAUGACAAUCCCUUGAAAGCUCUAUCUACCACAGAUGUACUUACUGGUUAAGAACAUGGUUAAAUCCAGGUUCAUUUUAUCUUUUACUUGCACGAAUGUAUUUGUAUAAAUCUAAUAUGUCACGUGCAAAUAAAAAUGCAAACUUUUCAUGAUUUUCAUUAAGCCAUUUGCCCAAAUGUUGUACCAAAAUUUUUAGUUCUGGUCAUGAAAGGAAGGUUAGCCAAAAAGUGCCUUCUUCAGAUCACUAAAAUCUGAAUAAAACACUGAUUGUAAUAAUUAUUAACAAUCUCCUGCUUUUAUUGUCUGUAGGUUUCUUUUUAAAUGAGUUGUAAUGACUCUCUUCCAUAUGGGAAGAGAAAAUUAUAUCACUGCGGUCGACAUGGAACUUGCUCUACCUUGACACCUUAUUAUCCACGACAUAAUGUGCAUGCAAUGCAUCUACACAGAAUGUUAAGAUGUUCCAUUUUAACAUCAGCAGCUCCUGUUAUAAGAUUCAUUAUGGUGGUACUGGCCAUAAAUCUACAGUUGCUACAAUGAAACAAAAUCUUCUUUGCGAGAUCCCUGUUACAUCUUCUCAUUCAGGUCUUGGUUUAAUUCCGAAGGUGUUGCAGCUCCUGUUCAACUGAUCAUCUUUUAAUGCGAGACAAUCAUUGUUUAUGAUAAAGUUUCACAGAACUCAGUCUGAGGAUCUACCUGUUUAUUGCUUGUGGCCUGGGAGGCUUGGUUCGGCUGGGCCUGUGGGUAUGGUAUUUUGUCCGAAAUGCAACAGACGCUACCGCUAAACUGGAUUGGUAGCAGAGAAAUUUUGGAAACCACACCUGGAAACCAAAGCCAAAGUCUGGGUUGAAAUUGAAGAUGAUUUGGACUGGUAGAAGAUAAAUCUACUUCAGGCUUUGCAGAUUCAUUCAUUUACUUACAACAUUACUAGAAUGAUUGUACGUAAUGUGUUAGUGUUGUCUUCUUUCAUAACUAUAUAAUUGGGAGUUAAUUGACAUGAGUUUCCAGAACCUGUUAAUGAAAGUUACGUUGUUGCUUG